UACGGGGGGGGGCAAGCGUUGUCCGGAAUUACUGGGCGUAAAGAGCUCGUAGGUGGUUUGUCGCGUUGUUCGUGAAAACUCACAGCUUAACUGUGGGCGUGCGGGCGAUACGGGCAGACUGGAGUACUGCAGGGGAGACUGGAAUUCCUGGUGUAGCGGUGGAAUGCGCAGAUAUCAGGAGGAACACCGGUGGCGAAGGCGGGUCUCUGGGCAGUAACUGACGCUGAGGAGCGAAAGCGUGGGGAGCGAACAG
rnacentral:rRNA from 1 species